GAAAUGCGAUAAGUAAUGUGAAUUGCAGAAUUCCGUGAAUCAUCGAAUCUUUGAACGCACAUUGCGCCCUCUGGCAUUCCGGGGGGGAUGCCUGUCCGAGCGUCAUUACGCACCCUCAAGCCCGGCUUGUGCGAUGGGCCCCGGCGUCUCGUUCGCGAGACGGGCCCGAAAGGCAGCGGCGGCGUCGACCCGAUGAGCCCGAGCGUAUGGGGACUUCUGUCACACGUUCGCGGUGCGGACCGGCGCCUGCUUGACUUUUCUGAUUAUCCAGGUUGACCUCGGAUCAGGUAGGGAUACCCGCUGAACUUAAGC
rnacentral:misc_RNA from 1 species